UUUUCUUUUUCUUUCUAUUUCUAGAGGACGAGGCGCAUCAGUGUUGACUCUUUUGUGAAUAUUGAUCAGUUUUUAGGGUGUCCUUCAGGAUAACCUGGUUCCUGAGUCAUUGUACCUCCUCUAGUUACUACUGUAAUAGCAUGAUCAUUCAUAUUGCCAUUCAUUUCAUUAAGAAAUUAUGUCUGAGAUUUAGCAACUUCUUCUAACUGAGUUUGUACCAUAGAGGCAUGUUUUCCUACACCUCUAACAUCAUUGGUGAUUCUAAAUAACAAGUCACUCAAGCGA
rnacentral:lncRNA from 1 species